CAGAAUGUGAAAAUCUUUGCAUCUUCUGAUAGUCUAGCCAAGGUCCAAGAAGUAGCAAGCUGGCUUUUGGAAAUGAAUCAGGAACUGCUCUCUGUGGGCAGCAAAAGACGACGAACUGGAGGCUCUCUGAGAGGGAAUGCUUCCUCAAGCCAGGUUGAUGAGGAGCAGAUGAAUCGCGUGGUUGAGGAGGACCCACAGCAGCAGCCGAGACAUCAGGAGGAGGAGCACACUGCGCGGAAUGAUGAGGACUCUUCGGGAAACCAGGAAGAGCAGGAGGAAGAUGAAGAACAUGCUGGAGCGGUUCUCGAGAUGCCACUCUCAGGGUUUGGGAUAUUGAGACCGGCCAGUGUUUACACGUCUUGAUGGGCCAUGUGGCAGCAGUCCGCUGUGUUCAGUAUGAUGGCAGGAGGGUUGUUAGUGGAGCAUAUGAUUUUAUGGUGAAGGUGUGGGAUCCAGAGACCGAGACCUGUCUACACACGUUACAGGGACACACUAAUAGAGUCUAUUCGUUACAGUUUGACGGCAUCCAUGUGGUGAGUGGAUCUCUUGAUACAUCAAUCCGAGUCUGGGAUGUGGAGACAGGGAAUUGCAUUCACACGCUAACAGGACACCAGUCGUUAACAAGUGGAAUGGAACUCAAAGACAAUAUUCUGGUCUCUGGGAAUGCAGAUUCUACAGUUAAAAUCUGGGAUAUCAAAACAGGACAGUGUUUACAGACAUUGCAAGGUCCCAGCAAGCAUCAGAGCGCUGUGACCUGCUUACAGUUCAACAAGAACUUUGUAAUUACCAGCUCAGACGAUGGAACGGUAAAACUCUGGGACUUGAAAACGGGUGAAUUUAUCCGAAACCUAGUCACAUUGGAGAGUGGGG
rnacentral:lncRNA from 1 species